rnacentral:misc_RNA from 1 species
GUGAAUCAUCGAAUUUUUGAACGCAAAUUGCACUCCCUGGUAUUCCGGGGAGUAUGCCUGUUUGAGGGCCGUUAGAAUAAAAAAUCGAUGCGUCGCUCUUUUUUUAAGGGUGAUCGCGUCGGAAUUGAACCGUCUUUUAAAUUGUAAUUUAUUUUAAAGUGGCUUGAAAUUCAUCCAUCCGGUACGGAUGAAACGGAUUUAAGAUCAAUUUUGAAUGAGAACGCG